UCAUCUCCUGCCCUGAAUUGUAUGGUGGUGCCAUAAGAAGCCUUUUUAGAUACAUACAAGUGUGGCAUGAGGAAUGCCCCUCUGAGGAGCAGCAUGUUUUCUUUCACUUUCUCAGGGAAAGUCAGUUUCACUGAGAUACUAUCACUUAUUCAACAUCACACCAAAAAAUGGGAAGAAUGAAGUCUUUUUUGGCAUUGGCAAUGAUUCUGUAUUAAUUUAGAAUUGGAUGGACUGCCACAUAUUCAGAGAACUGAACACCCUAAAUGGGAUAUUGGAAAAUACUAUUUCAAACUAGGUGUGGUGACUCAUGCCUGUAAUCCCAAUACUGUGGGAGACCAAGGUGGGAGGAUUGCAUGAGCGCAGGAGUUCAAGGCUAGAUCUGGUCUCUAUGAAUAAGUAAAACAUUAGGCAGGCCAUAGGAGGAAGAUGGCGGUGGAGUCACGCACUACCCAGGAGGAAAUUAAGAAGGAGGCAGUGAAGCCAAUCGACAGUCCAAGACGUGCCCGCUGCUGCCACAGGUCUUCACCACCAAUAACGGCCACCACCACCGAGUGGAUGAGUUCUCCGGGGAAACGUCCCCUCCAGCGAGUGGCAGAUCUACACUUGGGUGGAUGCAAUCUUGAAAGAACUGACAAGCUUAGUAAAAGAAUUCUACCCAGAAGCUAGAUGGAAGGGCACUCGCUUCAAUUUUGCACUCGUUUUUACAGAUGCUAAAAGACCUGGCUAUGGAGUUAAGGAGAUUGGCAGCACCAUGUCUGGCAGAAAGGGGACUGAUGAUUCCAUGACUCUGCAGUCGCAGAAGUUCCAGAUAGGAGGUUACUUGGACAUAGCAAUUACCCCUCCAAAUCGGGCACCACCUCCUUCAGGGUGCAGGAGACCAUAUUAAAUUCUGCUUACUGUUUCUUGAAUUUAUGUUUCGGUCAGUUAUGCAAAAUAAACUUACUCUUUUUCCUCCCCUGAUGAUUCCCAUUAAGCCUUUAAAUUCCAAACAAAUUAUAAUGUAUCAUCUAUUUAGGAAUUAGGUUUGGAUGUGCUAUUGUAUGAUUACUAAUAGAAAGUCCGUAUGUUUCAAGCCCUUCUGUAAAAAUGAAGAAAAGUGCUCUUAGCAUUCUGUGUAAAACUGUACUGUUAAAUAUAUGUAUGUAAUCA